AGUCCGCCGCCUCCCUCCGAGCGCAGGACGCUCCGACGCCCGCUUGCCCGCAGGCCACCGCAGGCCUCACUGGCUUUGGGCAAGUGCUGAAGUUCACUCAUUUUCUAUUGGUUGUUUCUCCCCGUGAAAGACAUUGAACAUAAGUGGUGUGGAAUAAUGUUACGCUUCUCUGAAGGGUCCUAAAUGGUUGAAGAACACCCCUCAAGAGAUGGAAAGAAUCUAAGAGCCAGAGAGAAUGGAUGACUCCAAGGAAACACAAUGGGACGGAUGACCACAUGAACGCUCCGUGACUCUAGCAGCUUGCACCAGGCCUGUACAGGUUCAAGCCAGACGGGCUUCCAGCACUGAGAGGGGAAUUGGACAUGGGCUUCUACUCCUUACUAAGAAGCUCUCGGCAACUGAUACCGACUUGCAAAGGCAAAAAGUUUUCUCCAAUGAAGUACCACUGAGUAUAUUAACCAUACUUCAA
rnacentral:lncRNA from 1 species